GGGAGGAGAGACGUGGCCUGGGGCGCCGCCGUGUUAAACAGCCAGAGGUGACGGGGCAAUGACGAUGGGCAAAUGAACGGCGGGGAAACAAAGGGCAUCGCACGGAUGAUGCAGAAUGGGAAGCACUAACGACAUGAUUCGGUCUGGGUCACAGCAAGAACAUUUCUCUCCACCACAUCUGGAUCAGGAAUCUGCCGAUCGCCUGCAGAGCUCAGAGUGCAUUGGGUUCAGCAGCAGAGCUCACCUUGAAGCUAGAAGGCAUCUUGAAGGUGGACACUGUGCUGAUGAGGCCCCGCAGGGAACUAGGUUCUGGACUGUCGGACUCCAGACUUCUGUUAGGUCCACCUGAAUGUUUUGGCCAAAUUGAGCAUUCUCUGUGCCAGGUGCGCUGGCACAAAAAAGAU
rnacentral:lncRNA from 1 species